rnacentral:rRNA from 1 species
GACGAACGCUGGCGGCGUGCCUAACACAUGCAAGUCGAGCGAGUGGAUCUCCUUCGGGAGUGAAGCUAGCGGCGGACGGGUGAGUAACACGUGGGCAACCUGCCUCAUAGAGGGGAAUAGCCUUUCGAAAGGAAGAUUAAUACCGCAUAAGAUUGUAGCUUCGCAUGAAGUAGCAAUUAAAGGAGCAAUCCGUUAUGAGAUGGGCCCGCGGCGCAUUAGCUAGUUGGUGAGGUAACGGCUCACCAAGGCGACGAUGCGUAGCCGACCUGAGAGGGUGAUCGGCCACAUUGGGACUGAUACACGGCCCAGACUCCUACGGGAGGCAGCAGUGGGGAAUAUUGCACAAUGGGGGAAACCCUGAUGCAGCAACGCCGCGUGAGUGAUGACGGCCUUCGGGUUGUAAAGCUCUGUCUUCAGGGACGAUAAUGACGGUACCUGAGGAGGAAGCCACGGCUAACUACGUGCCAGCCGCCGCGGUAACAC